rnacentral:rRNA from 3 species
AAUCCACACGACUCUCGGCAACGGAUAUCUCGGCUCUCGCAUCGAUGAAGAACGUAGCGAAAUGCGAUACCUGGUGUGAAUUGCAGAAUCCCGCGAACCAUCGAGUCUUUGAACGCAAGUUGCGCCCGAGGUCUUUCGGCUGAGGGCACGCCUGCCUGGGCGUCACGC